UCCUACGGGAGGCAGCAGUGGGGAAUAUUGGACAAUGGGGGGAACCCUGAUCCACCCAUGCCGCGUGUGUGAAAAAGGCCUUUUGGUUGUAAAGCACUUUAAGCGAGGAGGAGGCUCCCGAAAUUAAUACUCUUGGAUAGUGGACGUUACUCGCAGAAUAAGCACCGGCUAACUCUGUGCCAACAGCCGCGGUAAUACAGAGGGGGCAAGCGUUAAUUGGAUUUACUGGGCAAAAACCGCGCGGUGGUGCCCCAUUUACGUCCAAAUGUGAAAAACCCCGAACCUUAACCUUU
rnacentral:rRNA from 1 species